rnacentral:rRNA from 1 species
UACGUAGGGUGCGAGCGUUGCCCGGAUUUAUUGGGCGUAAAGAGCUCGUAGGCGGCCUGUCGCGUCUGCUGUGAAAUCCCGGGGCUUAACCCCGGGCGUGCAGUGGAUACGGGCUGGCUGGAGGCAGGCAGGGGAGAACGGAAUUCCCGGUGUAGCGGUGAAAUGCGCAGAUAUCGGGAGGAACACCGGUGGCGAAGGCGGCUCUCUGGGACGGUACUGACGCUGAGACGCGAAAGCGUGGGGAGCGAACAGG